AGAACGAACGCUGGCGGCAGGCUUAACACAUGCAAGUCGAACGCCCCGCAAGGGGAGUGGCAGACGGGUGAGUAACGCGUGGGAAUCUACCUAGCUCUUCGGAACAACUGAGGGAAACUUCAGCUAAUACCGAGUACGCCCUACGGGGGAAAGAUUUAUCGGAGUUAGAUGAGCCCGCGUUGGAUUAGCUAGUUGGUGGGGUAAUGGCCUACCAAGGCGACGAUCCAUAGCUGGUCUGAGAGGAUGAUCAGCCACACUGGGACUGAGACACGGCCCAGACUCCUACGGGAGCAGCAGUGGGGAAUAUUGGACAAUGGGCGCAAGCCUGAUCCAGCCAUGCCGCGUGAGUGAUGAAGGCCUUAGGGUGUAAAGCUCUUUCAGUAGGGAAGAUAAGUGACGGUACCUACAGAAGAAGCCCGGACUAACUCGUGCCAGCAGCCG
rnacentral:rRNA from 1 species